UAAAUUCGUAAUCGGCCGCUAGUCUCCCACGGUCCGAAAGCCUGUCUCUUCAAUGCCUCUGGCCCGAAAUAGGGGAGGGGAGGGUGAAAAAGUUAGCUUCAAGGUUCUCUUCUAAUCUUUCGGACUGCAAGGAAAGUUCUAUCUUUUCACUUUGUUUUCUUAAAAGAAAACCUCAUCUAAAAAUAGUUCUCGUCUAUUUCAGAGAAUAUCUCAAAAUCCUUUCUUCGACAUUUUUUUUGACGCAUUCUUGAGGUGCUGGAAUUAGGUCAUAUGUUCAGAAACCCCCUUCAACACUUUUUUUUUCCUGCAGAACCCGCGUUUGCUGACUGGUGUUAACCUUCACCUAGGCCCGUGAUGGGGAAGCUAAAGCCGCUGUAAAAGAGAAGGGGGAAGGGACGAGUAAGCAGGUAUUGAAAUCUUUAUGGAAUGCCAUGGUUAUAGAUUUCAGCAGAUGGUCUGUCUAAACAUGUGUUGGAAGGAUAGCGGUUGAGAAAGGUGUCAACAGAUCGCUUGAGGAGAGCGUUCCAAUAGCAGAGGAAUGGUCCAGUGGAUUCUCUUUGGUGAUUUGGAGGAUUUCAGUUUCCCGUUUAGGAUGCAAACAGUUACAUACAGAUCACGUUCUGCUAAAAAUUGGACCCUCGUAUAAUUGGACAAAGGAUCAUAAAAAUGAACAUUCUUGAAAGAUGGGUCCAGAAUUCUAAGUCACGUAACUGUACUUAUGGACAAAGCUAACUUGAAAGUACAAGAAAAACUACAGUGUUGUGUACGUGUCAAGUAUUAGAUUUUGGAAAGCUGUUGUAUCAUGAAAGCCUCUAUAACUAGAAGUGACUCGGGAAACUGAGAACAGAUGAAAUUAAUGUAUAUAAAAAAUCAUUAAAUUUUGUAUUGGUUGAA